UGUUAAUGCUAAUCGUGAUAGGGGUUUUUACCUCUGAAUGACUCCUACAUGUUAGCAUUA
rnacentral:pre_miRNA from 1 species